CUGGGGUGAAAGCCCGUUGCUCAACAACGGAACUGCCCUGGAAACUGGUUGGCUUGGGUACAGACGAGGGUGGCGGAAUGGAUACUGUAGCGGUGAAAUGCAUAGAUAGUAUCCAGAACCCCGAUUGCGAAGGCAGCUGCCUAGACUGUAACUGACGCUGAGGCACGAAAGCGUGGGGAGCGAACAGGAUUAGAUACCCUGGUAGUCCACGCCGUAAACGAUGGAUACUCGCUGGUGGCGAUAGAUGGUCACUGGCUUAGCGAAAGCGUUAAGUAUCCCACCUGGGGAGUACGCUCGCAAGAGUGAAACUCAAAAGAAUUGACGGGGGCCCGCACAAGUGGUGGAGCAUGUGGUUUAAUUCGAUGAUACGCGAGGAACCUUACCUAGGCUAGAAUGCGCGUGACCGGCUCAGAGAUGAGCCUUUCCUUCGGGACACAAAGCAAGGUGCUGCAUGGCCGUCGUCAGCUCGUGCCGUGAGGUGUUGGGUUAAGUCCCGCAACGAGCGCAACCCCCUAUGUUUAGUUGCCAGCACGUAAUGGUGGGGACUCUA
rnacentral:rRNA from 1 species